CAAAUUCCUUGCGAAAUGCCCCUGGCGCCGCUAGGGAACUCUGCAGUUGACGCUGUUGAUGACGUCACCAGGGUUUACAAGAACUGAGAAAAAGAACUUCGAGGAGCUUUGGGAACUCAAAGAAACCCAGAGCUAAUCUAUCUAUGAAAAGUCAACUAGACCAAACAUUAGGACUCAUAGGCAAGGGGAGAGUGGUCCUGAGCCAGCAUGUCUGCAGGGUAGCCAUUUCUUAGUCUGCUGGAAAUGCUGUAAUGAAAUAUUACAGAGUUGUAGGCUUAUAAACAAAUUUAUUUCUCCUGUUUCUAGAGAAAAGUCUCUCAGUCUCCAGUGGAAGACCAGGGGUGAAUGAAGAUUAAGGCAAAGAUGGGAAGGCGGAGAAGAUAAAAACUCAAAUCUCUGGUGCGCGUUCAGACCCAGAGAUGGGCUUCUCACUGCUAAAUAUGUCAUUAUCAAGGAGACCCCCCAUAAAUGUUGAUGCGUUUAAAUGUGUUUGUACUGUAUUUCAUAUUUGUUUUGCGAUUACAGCUAAUUGUCAGCAUUGAAAUAAAUAAAAAUGUGUGAUAUA